UACGAAGGGGGCUAGCGUUGCUCGGAAUCACUGGGCGUAAAGCGCACGUAGGCGGAUUGCUAAGUCAGGGGUGAAAUCCUGGAGCUCAACUCCAGAACUGCCUUUGAUACUGAGAUCUUGAGUUCGGGAGAGGUGAGUGGAACUGCGAGUGUAGAGGUGAAAUUCGUAGAUAUUCGCAAGAACACCAGUGGCGAAGGCGGCUCACUGGCCCGAUACUGACGCUGAGGCACGAAAGCGUGGGGAGCAAACAGG
rnacentral:rRNA from 1 species